rnacentral:rRNA from 1 species
AUUGAACGCUGGCGGCAUGCCUUACACAUGCAAGUCGAACGGCAGCGCGGGAGCAAUCCUGGCGGCGAGUGGCGAACGGGUGAGUAAUAUAUCGGAACGUGCCCAGUAGUGGGGGAUAGCCCGGCGAAAGCCGGAUUAAUACCGCAUGAGACCUGAGGGUGAAAGCGGGGGAUCGCAAGACCUCGCGCUAUUGGAGCGGCCGAUAUCAGAUUAGCUAGUUGGUGGGGUAAAGGCCUACCAAGGCAACGAUCUGUAGUUGGUCUGAGAGGACGACCAGCCACACUGGGACUGAGACACGGCCCAGACUCCUACGGGAGGCAGCAGUGGGGAAUUUUGGUCAAUGGGCGAAAGCCUGAACCAGCAACGCCGCGUGUGCGAUGAAGGCCUUCGGGUCGUAAAGCACUUUUCGGGAGGAUGAGGAAGGACAGUACUCCCGGAAUAAGUCACGGCUAACUACGUGCCAGCAGCCGCGGUAAGGUCGUCAUGU